GUGGGGAAUAUUGGACAAUGGGCGCAAGCCUGAUCCAGCCAUGCCGCGUGAGUGAUGAAGGCCCUAGGGUUGUAAAGCUCUUUCACCGGUGAAGAUAAUGACGGUAACCGGAGAAGAAGCCCCGGCUAACUUCGUGCCAGCAGCCGCGGUAAUACGAAGGGGGCUAGCGUUGUUCGGAAUUACUGGGCGUAAAGCGCACGUAGGCGGGUAUUUAAGUCAGGGGUGAGAUCCCGGAGCUCAACUCCGGAACUGCCUUUGAUACUGGGUACCUAGAGUAUGGAAGAGGUAAGUGGAAUUCCGAGUGUAGAGGUGAAAUUCGUAGAUAUUCGGAGGAACACCAGUGGCGAAGGCGGCUUACUGGUCCAUUACUGACGCUGAGGUGCGAAAGCGUGGGGAGCAAACAGGAUUAGAAACCCUUGUAGUC
rnacentral:rRNA from 1 species